GGGGUUGUGGCUCAGCGGUAGAGCGCUUGCCUAGCAUGUGUGAGGCACUGGGUUCGAAUCUCAGCACCA
rnacentral:tRNA from 1 species